rnacentral:rRNA from 1 species
GUUAUACUAUUGAGGCAAAUGUAUUUAUUUUUAUAAUGAUAAGUUACAAAAUAUUGAAAUUUAAAAUAUUUUUUCAGGUGAAAUCGAAAAAUUUUUAUAAUUCUUUUAGUAACUUUUGAAAAAUUUUAAUAAAAACUAGGAUUAGAUACCCUACUAUUAAUCUUUUAAAAAUUAGGUAGUAUAAUUUUUGAAACCUAAAGAAUUUGGCGGUAUUUUAAAUAAUUGGAGGAAUCUGUUUUUUAAAUGAUAAUUCACAACAUAUCUCUCCAGAAUUUUGUUUGUAUAUCGUUGUUUAGAAAAUGCUUAAAAGUUAUAAUCAUAAAUAAUAUAGUUAAUAAAAUCAGAUCAAGGUGCAGUAUAUUUUGGUUAAAAUGGAUUACAAUAUAAUGUGUAUAUAUAACGAAUAAUAAAUGAAAAUUAAUCUGAAGGUGGAUUCAAAAGUAAUAUUAAAAUUAAGAUGU